rnacentral:rRNA from 1 species
UACGGAGGGAGCUAGCGUUAUUCGGAAUUACUGGCGUAAAGCGCACGUAGGCGGCUUUGUAAGUUAGAGGUGAAAGCCUGGAGCUCAACUCCAGAACUGCCUUUAAGACUGCAUCGCUUGAAUCCAGGAGAGGUGAGUGGAAUUCCGAGUGUAGAGGUGAAAUUCGUAGAUAUUCGGAAGAACACCAGUGGCGAAGGCGGCUCACUGGACUGGUAUUGACGCUGAGGUGCGAAAGCGUGGGGAGCAAAGCAGG